UACGUAGGAGGCAAGCGUUAUCCGGAAUGACUGGGCGUAAAGGGUGCGUAGGUGGUUUGACAAGUUGGUAGCGCAACUCCGGGGCUCAACCUCGGCACUACUACCAAAACUGUUGAACUUGAGUGCAGGAGGGGCAAAUGGAAUUCCUAGUGUAGCGGUGGAAUGCGUAGAUAUAUGGAAGAACACCAGUGGCGAAGGCGGCUGUCUGGUCUGCAACUGACGCUGAGGCUCGAAAGCAUGGGUAGCGAACAGG
rnacentral:rRNA from 1 species